UACGAAGGGUGCAAGCGUUGUUCGGAAUUACUGGGCGUAAAGCGCGCGUAGGCGGGUUAGAAAGUCGAUUGUGAAAGCCCUGGGCUUAACCUGGGAAUGGCAGUCGAAACUCCUAAUCUUGAAUGUCUGAGAGGAUGGCGGAAUUCCCGGUGUAGUAGUGAAAUACGUAGAUAUCGGGAAGAACACCUGAGGCGAAGGCGGCUAUCUGGCGGUACAUUGACGCUGAUGCGCGAAAGCGUGGGGAGCAAACAGG
rnacentral:rRNA from 1 species